CCUACGGGAGGCAGCAGUGAGGAAUAUUGGUCAAUGGGCGCGAGCCUGAACCAGCCACGUAGCGUGAAGGAUGACUGCCCUACGGGUUGUAAACUUCUUUUAUAAAGGAAUAAAGUGAGGCACGUGUUCCUUUUUGUAUGUACUUUAUGAAUAAGGAUCGGCUAACUCCGCUCCAGCAGCCGCGGUAAUACGGAGGAUCCAAUCGUUAUCCGGAUUUAUUGGGUUUAAAGGGAGCGUAGAUGGGUUGAUAAGUCAGUGGUGAAAGUUUGCGGCUAAACCGGAGGACUGCAAUUGAAACUGGGAGUCUUGAGUACAGUUGAGGAAGAGGGAAUUCGUGGUGUAGCGGUGAAAUGCUUAGAUAUCACGAAGAACUCCAAUGGCGAAGGCAGCCUACUAAACUGCAACUGACGCUGAUGCGCGAAAGCGUGGGGAGCAAACAGGAUUAGAUACCCGGGUAGUC
rnacentral:rRNA from 1 species